GGCGGAAAGAUUUAUCAUAACACAGACACUAUGAGUGUGCAUGCAGGGAGAGAGACAGGCAGGUGAGAGUGUUGUGGUGGUAUAAUAUUAUUUUAAGGUGUGUGACUUUUGUUUAUGCUGUAGUUGUUUAACUCCAUGAAGCUGCAUUACUGUGCCUGUUUAAAUAAAACACCUGGUGGUCCUAAUAAAGAGCUGAAUGACCAAUAGUGAAGAACAAGAUAGGCAAGAACAAGGAUAGGCGGGGCUGGCAGACAGAAAGAAUAAAUAGAAGGAGAAACAAGGAAGGGAGGAGCUAUGAGAGACCAAGGAGAGGAGGAGAUCAGCGGUCAGCCAGCCAUGCAGUAAGAGUGAAAGUAAGAUGUACAGAAGUAAGAAAAGGAAAAGGCUCAGAGCACAAAAGGUGGUCCAAAUAAGAUAAGAAAAGCUGGCUAGAAACAAGCCAAGCUAAGGCCAGGCAUUCAUAACCAAAAAUAAGCCUCCAUGUAUGUUUUAUUUGGGAGCUGGGUGGUACCCCCCUGCCAAAAAAAAAAAAAAAAAAAAAAAAGCAAAAAGAGCAAAACAUCCACAACAGAGAGUUACUCACAUGAGUCUCAACCUUCCAAAAUCUCUUGUGGGUGAAAGAACUACCUAGAAACACGUGCUUUUCUGGAAUAAGUUAUACUGGUGUCUAGAAAUGUGAUGAAGACCAAGACGUGGGCAAAACCAGGUGCAGCAGGUACAUCUGCUCCCAUCCUGGUGCUCACUGCACUGAGCCUGUCGUGCUUGCAAGUCAUACUUGGAACUUCAAAAAUGGUUUCUUCUGCUUAAGCUGUGUCGGACCUUAUGAACCUAAUGUAAAUAUUAGUUUGCAUAGGGGAGAGCUAGUGAGCUUAAGUCAAAGAUGACAACCCCAUUGACAAGUUGGAGGACUAUGGGCCUACCACUCCCAGUAGAUACACAUGCAGUGCAGCCCUUGGGCUGUCAUUAGAGUAUAUGGGCUCAGGGAGCAGGAGGACAUUCAUCCUGACAUGUCAGGAUAGAUUAAAGCAGGGGACUACAAAGGUACCUAAUGUGCCCAGUUAUGUGCUCUGUGCUCCAGGUGAGAAGUGUUGGGAAAGGAAAGAUUUCAGGCCAGCAAGAUGGCUCAUCAGGUGAAAGCACUUGUUGCCAAGGCUGACGACCUGAGUGGGAUCUCAAAGAUACAUAUGAUAGAAAAACGAAAUCAACACACACACACACACACACACACACACACACACACACACACACACACACACACACACUGAAUUAAAAAUGCUAUUUAAAAAGAAAAGAAAGGAUAUCAUAGUGUUUACCAGAGUGCAUUCAGCCACAACCUAAUAAUAGAUUUGAUUUAAUUAGUGAAUAUAUAGCCAUAAGCAGGCUCCUAUGCGACAAUAAAGUCAUAUACUGUAGUCCUAUAGUUCCUCCUUGUCAGGAUUUUGCUUCCCAUGGUUUCAAUUACCUAUGAUAUCCUAUAUUUUGAAAAUGUUCAACUAAAAAAAUUCCCAAAACACAUUUAAAAUCGUGCACCACUCUGUAGUGUGGUAAGAUCUGACUAUCUGGCUCUGAUCUAGUCAGGACAUGAGUUAUCUUUUUGUCUAGUGUAUCCACCCUUUAUAUACCACCUACCCAUUAGCACCUAGCUGUCUCAGUUGUCAGACUGAUAUGGUAUCACAGAGCUUGUGCUUAAGUAACAUUUCUUCACUUAAUGAUGGACCCAAAGUACAAACACAGCAAAGUACCCCUCCAGAUAUGCCAAGGAAGCAUCAUAAAGCAUCACUCAAACUGUGAAAAUUCUUAUAGUGAUAAAAAUGCAAUACUGGGGUUGCAAAAAGUUACAGGGAAUUAUUGUUAAUUUCUUACUUUGACACUUACACAUUAAAUUUUAACUUAGGUAAUAACAUUCAGAAAAAUAGAGUAUGUGGGGCCAGUUGGAUGGCUCCGUGGAUAAAGGUGUGUGCCCUGUGCCAAGUCUGGUGACCUGAAUUAGAUCACUGGAACCCAAAAUGGCAGAGGGAGAGAACUGACCUCUGACCUUUCAGUUGUGCAUGGUAGCAUGUGUGUCCCUGUGUGCAUACACACACACACACACACACACACACACACACACACAGAGAGAGAGAGAGAGAGAGAGAGAGAGAGAGAGAGAGAUACACACACACUAAUUAAUAAAUAAAGAGGAAACUUGAGUACAUGAAGUGCUUAGUAUUGCCUGCAGGCACAGGUGUCUCCUUAGGGUCUUGAAAUACACCCCUUACUCCUAAGGAGAAAUUCUGGCAAGCUACACAAGGCACUCACUUCCAUUUACAAGCACUGAAUGUUUACUGUUGGCUUCUGACUACUUUUCCUGUUUUGUGUCUAGGACAGUGGUUCUCAACCUUUCUAAUUCUGUGACCCUUUAAUGCAGUUCCUCAUGUUACGGUGACCCCCCAACCAUAAAAUUAUUUUUGUUGCUACUUCAGAACUGUAAUUUUGCUACUGUUAUGAAUUGUAAUGUAAAUAUCUGAUAUUCUGCUUCUGUGAAAGGGUUGCCUGACUUCCAAAGGGGUUGUGACCCAUUGAUUGAGAACCACUGGUCUAGGGCAACUGACUUGUGAUGCCUUUGCUAACUUUGUGUCUACACCUUUGCACACACCUGGGCUCUUCCAGACAUGGAAAAUGCUGCUUGUUGUCAAGUUCACAGUGAAUGACUCAGAGAGGACCCAAAAUGAAAACAAUGGUUAAGCAAGGGGCAUCCAGACUCCAUGGCAGCCAGGACAGCUCAUGCACUCCCAGCCUCUCUGACACCCAGUUGGUAGAUCCAACUCACUCCUUCCAGGCAGAAGCCCUUUGCUGGUACCAGACUUGGAACACUCACCAGAGCCUCUGCUGUCAUUGUCCAUCUUUUCCCUCCUCUGUGCAUGCAGUGUCACAGCUGACACCUGGGAUGUCACAUUCUGACAUACAAGACCGUUGGGGUCAAGUGGGGUAGGGGUAGAGGCAUGGACUUGGCUAUCACAGCCAGGUACAUGUCAAAGCAAAUUCCACUCACGAUUGGGUGUUCAGCCUGGACCUGGACCGUAUCUGGAUCAGAGUGAUGGGCUGAAGUCAAAUGACAAUGUUUGUCUAGCUAGGGCUUAUCUGACAGGACAUGCUUCCUGGCAGGGAUGGGAACGGAGGCUGCAGGGACAAGGGUGGGUGUGAGGCAAGAGGAGGUGUGUUAUCCGCCUUUGCCUCGUUUUCACAUUUGUUGCUAGUAUGUGCUUGCUGACAUUUGAGCGGAUUCUAUUUAUGCAAAUAGCCGAUUUUGCUUUAUUUUCCGUCCCCUACAUGCACGCAGACCACUAACUGUCACAAAGGUUUCCUUCCACCGUGGUGACUAACAGCACGGUCACUCACCCAGCAACAAGGGAGAGGCCUGGCUGGGGAAGGAGAGUGUUUAAUAUUGAUGUGAGCCCUGAAUAAAUGAGGAUUUGCAAGGCAUCCACCGUGUUCCACAACAAGACUUUGAAUUCAGAUCGACCGGAAUCCAUAUUUCUGCCCUAAUGCAUAGCAGCUUCAUGGCCCUGGGCAACUUUUCUUAGCUCCUCUUGGCCUCUGUUUCUUCAUCUCUAAAGUACUGGAAUAAUACUACCUAUGGUAUGGGAGAAUCUUCAUGAUCAAGUGAAAAUGUGUCCAAAGCAGUUUGUGGGAGGUCUAGUAAAAUGUGAUCCCUCUCACCCCAAAUCCUAAUGUGGACAAUGGGAGACAGAGGGCAGAGAAAUGGACAAUGGGAGACAGAGGGGCAGAGAAAUGGACAAUGGAGACAGAGGGGCAGAAAAAUGGACAACGAGAGACAGAGGGGCAGAAAAAUGGACAAUGGGAAAAGGAGAGACAGAGAAAUGGACAAUGGGAGACAGAGGGGCAGAGAAAUGGACAAAGGGAAAAGGAGGGGCAGAGACAGGGAUUGCAACAGAGAGUGUGUGUGCUUUGAAGAAUGCUCUCCCAUUAUCUUUCAGAUGACCUGCCUUUCCAGAACUUUGGAGCACUCCUGGGCUACAGAAGUAGUUGUUCAUCUGUCAGGGGAGCACUUGCCUCCUGAAUCUUUAACUUGAAUUUAGAAUUUACAUAUCAUUUAUUUUGCUUUUGUUCUUCCUCUCCCACCCUUUCCAUCUUGCUUUCCUUUCCUCCCUCCCUCCCUCCUUUCUUCCUCCCUUCCAUCUUUCCUUCCUUUCUUAUCUCUCUCUGUCUUUUUUGUUGAGAAAGGGUAGGGUCUGCCCAGUACCUUCUGUCAGACCUUUGGCCCUUUGCUUAGAAAACAUCAUCCAUCCUUAUCUUUUUACUUAAACAUUAUUCUUCUGAAAAUGAUCAUGAAACUUACCUUUUACAACAAAUUAUUUAACCCAGCCGUAAAUAAACUGUCACCUUGAACACAUGUUCCCUUCUUACAAGUCUGUGUCUAUUUUUGAGCAUUCUUUGUAGAUUUCUCAAGUGGUAGUACAGGCUGGGUUUUGUUGAUAAAUAGUUAACUUUAACAGAUGUUGAAAAUGAUCUCUUGGUUGAAUAAAGAAUUAAGAUGUAGACUCAAGUAUCUGAAAGUUUCUGCAAUGUGCUUUAGCAAGCUUAAAGGAUGGUGAGGAGAAUUCCACCAGCCUGGCAGCAGGGCAGUGGAGCAGAGAGCUUCAGGCCUAAGGGACAAAGUGGGAUAACACCACUCUUGGAGGAUUCGAGAGAAGAGGAGGUCCUGCACUGCAAGGAAAAAGACUCAGUUAAUAUAUAUGACCUGUGCUAUGUGACCGUGGUUGAAGACAGGGACUGUAGCACACAUAUCAGGAAUCAUAGAAAUGCUGGAUAGAGAAUAAAGCGUGGUUAGUGUCUGGAUUUAGUCAUGCUGCCUUGGGCUGCAGCUGGUAAGGGGCUAGGUAUUGUACCAACCCUGCUUCAAAUGUUAUCUGCUUGGGGCCUGCUUUCCUGGGCUUUCAACAGCCCACAGGAGUACUUCCUUCACAAAGAGGUUUGAGACUGUGUGUAUGUAUUACUUAUGGUUUAAGCCAUAUAUUUGGUUAUCCUGUGACCCAUUACCUUAGGCCAGACUGGUAAUUCAUGAAUUUGUGGUUUUCUUGGUCAGUCAUGGCAUGAUUAACCUGUCGCCAUUUUUGUUUUGUUUUGUUUUUUGAGACAGGUUUUCUUUGUUUAACAAUGCUGGCUUUCCUGGAACUCACUCUGUAGACCAGGCUGGCCUCACAACUCACAGAGGUCCACCUGCCUCUGCCUCCCCAGUGCUGGGAUCAAAGGUGUGUGGCACCAUGGCCAGCCCCUGUCAUCAUUUUGACGUUAGAGAUUACAUUGGCUGAUAGCUAUGCCAACCACUGAGCAUGUGGAGGCAACCAGGUCUAUGGUAACAGUUGUCACACCCUAAUAGAAGGAAGGAGGAUAGGGACACCUGCAAUUGCAGCUAUUUCUCCUUUUUUUAUUUUUUUGGUUUUUUGAGACAGGGUUUCUCUGUGGCUUUGGAGGCUGUCCUGGCACUCGCUCUGGAGACCAGGCUGGCCUCGAACUCACAGAGAUCGGCCUGCCUCUGUCUCCUGAGUGCUGGGAUUAAAGGCGUGCACCACCAAUGCCUGGCUUGCCAUUUCUCCUUCUUGAUUCACCCUCCAGCUGCAAGUGAUCUUGGGAAAUGUUGGUGUUUGUAGGAAGUGGAAGUCGAGCAUCUUGCAGCUGCACUGAUGACUGAAGGACUAAUGUGACAGAGACAACAGUUGUCAUCACCUCACCGAGCCAUGGUAUCUGCACAAUGCCACUCAUCCUCCUUGUCUUUUUCUUCAGUGAAAGUUAGUAAAUGACCAAGUCAAAGCACAGUCUCCAUUUGAAAAAUAAAAAAAUAAAAAUAAGAGGACAGAAAAAGGGAAAGGAACUAACAAUUGUCACAAUAGGUGAAUGGCCUCUUUGACAUCCCACAUUUCUCCAAACGUCAUUAGGUUGGAUUUGGGUAGCUGAAUAUGACGAUAUUUGAGCUCUUCAGCAAAUUCUAUAUUUGAUUCUCUCUUCCCAGAGGGCUUUUGUGAAGCAGGGGGUAUUGUGCUGGGAACAGAGCUACAGUCAGCCUCCUUGUCAUUAUGCUGGAAUGAAUGGCAAGAUACAUAAGGCACAGCAAUGAAAAGGCCAGUGGAUACAAGGCGGAGAGAGGGCCAGGGCUCAGUUAGAUUUUCACAAUCCAUCUGUCUCCUUUCAGUGUAUGUUCUUGCUGGAUUUUAUUUAUUUAUUGCUUAUAAAGUUUCAGAGAUUAAGCUUAUUCUUCAGGUACUAAACAAGGAAAGGAACCUUGGCAUUGUAAUGUUAGGAGCUCCAGGGAAAACGUACUAGGAAGGGGAAAAAGAGAGGGGGGUGGGGUAGAGAGAGAUAAUAGACAUUUGGUAUAUUGAGCAGUUUAUAGUGUGUUUUUAUAUACCCGAAAUUCAGCACAUCUACAAUAUAGUGCUGGAGCAUCUAUGAAUCUAAGACUAAGGCCAAUCUGAAGGAUGUCUUUUGAAAGUCAAUUCAAGAUUUUUUUGACAAGGUCUCACUAUAUAGCCACGACUGGCCUGGAUCUCAAAUAAGUAGACCAGGCUGGCUUCAAAUUCAUAAGACCCAUCUGUCUGCCUAUGCCUCCCAAGUUCUGGGAUUUUACAAGUAGAAUUUUCAAGUUAUAGGAUGAAACCUUGUUUCUUUUUUUUCCCCCAGCCUCUACCUUAUAUAUAAGAUGCCCAUGCUAGGAACCAGGGCUUUAUCCCCUACGUCUUCCAAUCUCUGUUAAUACUACAUCCAAGUUUUCAACAAAUCCUGUUGGCUGAAACUUCUGACCAGCAAUGGUAUAGAUUUCUGUGUGUCUGUACUAAUGGGUCCCUCCUUACGGUUUGCCUAUCAGACCCUGGGAACCCUUUAAUGACUCCCUUGUCUUAAAGAUAAAAUUUAAAGUCUUCAUCAUGGGCUAUACAUUUCCAGUCUUGGAUUUGACCUCUCUGUGGACAUCUCCACCUACACCCUAGGUACACGAAGACACCUGUCACAUGCUCCAAUGCUUGCCAAAGAUUUGGACCUUUGCCUGCUCCUUCUACCCCCAUGCUAUUCCCCUUCAUGGCCAGACUUAUUUCUUUCCUUCAAGAGACAGCAGAGCAAAUGUCAUUUUUCCCUUGUACCUAGUUAAAUGUCCUCUCCCUCCAAACCAGGCCCAUCUCCCACACUUGCAUAGUAACUGGCACAUAGCACUUUUAGAGCAGUGUGGACAUUUUAGUGUAGCUGUGCGUUUCUCUGUCAUGUUAAGUAGAAAUCCCCAUUACUAGUAAAUUCCAAACAGAUGAUCUUUGACACAUUUCAAAGAAGUGAAGCAGAGAACUGCAAUCAAGAAACCAAGGAGGAAAGAAUAAAUAAUAAAGACUUCUCAAGUCUCUUUUACUUUUGAGUAUUUGAAUUUCUCUAACCCCAAAAUUUAAAUAGAUGCUCAAAUUCCUUUGAAACUAAUCAGAAAGCAAUGUUAACAUGAUGUAUUAGUUGCUUUUCUGUUGCUGUCAUAAAAUAUUCUUAACGGAGAAAAGGGUUUAUUUUGGCCUAUGGUUUCAGAAGGGUAGGGUCCAUUAAGGCGCAAGUACGACAUGGGAAGAGAUACACAGUGACAGGAGCACGAGGCAGCAGAUCAUGUUUUCAUCCACACCGGAAGCAGAGAAAAAGAGAACAGGAAGUGGGGAGAGGGUAUAAUCCCUCAAAGCCUGCCCCUGUAACAUACUUCCUCAGCAAGGCACCACCUCCUGAUGGUUCCAUAACCUCCCCAAAGAGCAACAACUACUGGGGACCAAGGGAUCCCGUGGGCACAUUUCUUAUUCAAACCACCACACAUAGUUUUAUCAUAUGAAAUAUUUAUUGCUUUUGCAAUUGAUUAUCUCUCAAUAGAGUAUAUGAAACAUAUUGACUGUAUCACUAUCCUUUCUUAUGCAACAUGAUUACUCAACCGUGUGCUGAAGUUUUCAUUAUAUCCCUGGCUUAAGGAUUUGGGAAGCCCAGAAUGCUUUUGGUCUCUAUGCAUGAAAUGUAAUCAGGACAUUUUCUCCUGCAAGAUAAAACUGAGGAAAAUAGUUCCAAUUCAACUUUGCCACUACAAAUAUGAUACUUUGAAAAAGUCACCUGACAUUCAUGAACAUGAUUUUCUUCACCUAGAAAUGGUGGUUGUGGUGGUCAAAUAAUAUUAGAUGUGUAUGAAAUGCUCCAAAUAGAAUUUGGUAAACCAGAAAUGGUACACUAGAAAUGGUUGUUGUCGGGGUCAAAUAAAAUUAAGUGUGUAGGAAAUGCUCCAAACAGAAUUUGGUAUACCAGAAGCAUCCAUAACAUUGCUGUUAUUAUUCUAAAAUAGGAAACCAGAAGACAUACUUUCACAGGCAUUGUUCUUAUCUAUGCAGAAAAACCAAAGGGAAUGAUGGUUUCUGAUGAUCUUUGGAAUAUAAUACUCCAACUUCCACGACAAAAAAGGACAGUUGUGGAGACAGAAAGAUAAGGAGGAAGCAAAGCUGCCCAGUCAUCCAACUUCUGGGAGAUAAAGACAUUGGGAACUUGGCCAAACCCUUAAGUAAUAAGGAGAGAUGGGGAAGAAAUGUUGACAGUUUCUGACAUGUGACUUUCUGCUGACCCAGACACUGCAUUUGUUCUGAAUAUGAAGAGUUCUCAAGGCGAUACGUCAUGAACAGCCUCCAGUCCAGCAAGUAGCUCUCUCUCAUCCCACUUGCAAAGCCAAAUGCCCAGAGGAAAAGAAAUUAUUCAGAAGACCAGAGUUUUGUCUUGGAGACUAAAUUGACAAUACAUUAUUAAACUCCCCUUGCACCACUCACCACACCCAUUCUGGCAACAAAAGUUGCCUCAAACGGAGAAAAAGCAAUUUUCAUAGUAAUGAGUAAAAGAUGUUGUCCAAGUGAAGAGAAAGUAUGAGAGUCCUCCACAAAACAUUUCCCUAAAUUGUUAUAAUAAUGGAUAUUUUAGGAUAUAACAUAAUUUAUACUCCUUUUAAUUUACACAGAACUAUAUUUAAGACUAUUAAAACACAAUUAAGUAAAAUGCAUUUUACAUAUAUAUUUAAUAAGAAUAAUAAGAGUAAUAUAAAUUUGUAUUUAAGACCAAGAGUUGAUGGAGAAGCCAUGAACUUACUGACACUGCCCUGAGUAACUCUGAGGUGUAUGACUCUAGGUAAUCUUCUCAUGCCAUCAUAGGAAUUACUUGCCCUGGUAACAAGUGAGACACUUGAGAAUUCAACAUGGGUCUACAUCUUGUCCUCAAAGACCACAACUUCCCAGGAACAAAAUUUUAUCAAGUCAUUUCUUUGAAAAGUGUAGGUUCCCCCUACAUAAUUUAUCUAAGGAAUAUCCUUUCUUGUUUGUUAAUCUCUUACAUAUCUAAGGAAGAAGUUUCCUCAAAGUAACAAUUCCAUGAUUAAAAUUUUUCUCAUCAGUUUGUCAUAAACCAACCUUUGUAUAUGAAAUCAUCUUUUGGUAUAUAUAGGAGAGUAGGUCCAGGAUGUGCCAAGGAAAUCCACAGAUGCUGGAGUCCCUUAUGUAGAAUGGCAUAAAUAGAGUUAUAUUUUUUCCUUUUUACAUAGAUAAGUUAUUUGUGUGUUACACAUGCAUGUGUGUGCUUACAUGUGUGCUAGUACAUGUGUGCUCUAGUGUGUGUGCACACAUAUAUGUGGAGGUGCAUGGUUGAUGUCCAGAAUCUUUCUCGAUUGCUCAUCCAUCAUAUACUUUUGAGGCAGCAUCUCUCAGUCAAACCCAGUGCUCACCAACACAGCUGUUCUCACUAGUCUGCUCAGUCCUGGUACCUCCUAAUGCCACUUUCCAAGCCUGGAAUUACAUAUGGGUUACCAAUUCUAUGGAUUCUAAGAAUCUAAACUGUGAUAUUCUUGUUUUCAGAACUAUACAUUUAACUACUGAGCAAUCUUCCAGGGCAGACUUUGGACAGAUCACUUGGAGUACCUAAUAUAACAUAAAUGCUCAGUAAAUUGUUGUUACACUGUAUUGUUCAGAAACCAGGGACCCAAAAAGUGUUCAGUGGAGAUGGAACGUUUUUCCAAAAGCUUUUUAGUCUCAAGUUGUUGAGUCCUCACAUGUAGAGCUCACAAACAAAUAGGGUCAUCUCUAUAUCUAAAGAAGAUGUGAUAUUUACUCAUUUCACUUUGUUGCUGCUAUGGAAAUAGAGAAACAGUCAAUAUGAAACUGAAGAAGGCAGAGAAAAUGCAAUAUACAAAACCAUGAGGGGGAGAUCCAAUAGCAUAUAUGACCCAUCAAUCAGAUACGUGGCUAAAAUCCAAAGUCUGCCUCUGUUUCCUCAGCUAUAAAGCACACAGACAAAAUAAAAAGGACCUAUAGAGGGAGAAGGCACAGAUGUUCUGUCAGUUGGCCACCUUUUCACUUUGUUUCUGGGUAUCCUCAGGUCCAAAAACAUGGGAGAGAAACAAGAUGAAGAGAAAACAUUCAGGUCAUCGGUGCCACUGUACUCCUCAUUGGCUAUCUGGACAGUUCACCUCAUAGCUCAUUUCCAAAUAUAAUGCUGCCCUGAUGCACCCCUUCUUGCAUGGAACUUCCCAAUUGACCCACCAUCCACCGGAAUCUCAUUAAUCCUUGCCAGACUGAAAUGUCAGUGGAGAGUGACUGUAACUGUUAUUUCUGUCUCUUCACUCUACCACUAAUCUUCAACCCAAAUUCUAGAGAAGAACAAGAAACAGUACACAAUUUCAUUUGAGUCCUCGAAGAGUCCUUCUAAGGCUUUUUAUGUUCCAUCUCCCUUCUUCAACCCUGGAGCCUACCCACAGGUCCACACACACUAAGUUCCAAUUGGAUAGUGAAAUGCCCCCUCUAUCAGAUACCGUCAGCCUCCUCAAUCUUUCUUUCUCUUGAGUCCCCAGGACUUGAUUUAGGGAGGGUCACCUAGUAGAAUACCCCCCCUUCCAGUCUGAAAACCUUUCAGAGUACCCCUUCCUUUCAUUACAUAAACUGUUUUAUCAAUUCUUUGAGGGUUUUACAUGCAUACGAUGUAUUUCGAUUACAUUCAUCUCCCACUCUUUCUUCUAACUUCUCCCUAACCCAUGCCUCACCUCCUUCCCUUCCUACUUAUCUUUCUUUUUCAAAUAACCCUCAGAGUACAGUUUGUUCUGUUCACAUAAUUGUGGGUAUGUGGGCUACCCACCAGAGAGAGUGUGGUCAGCCUAUCAGGGACUAUACUCUUAAAGAAAACUGCCUCUUUCUAGUCAAGAAGCCACCAACAGUUAGUGGUGCUUCAGCUAGAAGUGGGGACACAUGAG